rnacentral:piRNA from 1 species
UGAAGUUACAUAACCUGUUGA